rnacentral:rRNA from 1 species
UACGUAGGGUGCGAGCGUUGUCCGGAAUUACUGGGCGUAAAGAGCUCGUAGGCGGUUUGUUGCGUCUAUCGUGAAAACCUGCAGCUUAACUGUGGGCUUGCGGUGGAUACGGGCAGACUUGAGUUCGGUAGGGGAGACUGGAAUUCCUGGUGUAGCGGUGAAAUGCGCAGAUAUCAGGAGGAACACCGGUGGCGAAGGCGGAUCUCUGGGCCAUUACUGACGCUGAGGAGCGAAAGCGUGGGGAGCGAACAGG